CGUGGCGGGCCAGGUCGAGGCCGUGGCGGGCCAGGUCGGGACCGCGACCACCAGAGGCCUUCCCCGCCCGGAGGCCACGCCCACGCCCACCGCCGCCCGGCGCUCCGAGCCUGGCUCCCGACGGUGACCCGGAGCCCGCGCGGUGGCUGCGGCGGCUGUGCGGCGGGCUGCGGUGUCGCCAGCAUCCCCCGACCGGAACAGGAGGUGAUGGCGCCGCCGCCCCAGCUGGGGCCCUUCGCAGCCCGCCGCCUGCGCCGUCCCCAGCCCAGGGCCGCUGGCCGGCCACCGUAGAGUAUGAAAAGCCCCCAAAUGGUGCGAAAGUACAGCCUGCAGUCUCUGGUGUCCAAGGAACGGGCUGUAGGCUGUGGAGUGGAAGCAGGUUUCGCGAGGACGGAGCGCAAGCCUUACCGCCCGUGCCGGAGACCAAGCCUCUGCUUUGCUCAGCGUCUCUGCAAAUGCGUUGAGCACUGUUAAGGGCCGGGGACACCGAGACGAGACGGAGCAGAGCCCUGCGGUCGCGGGACUUGCAUUCUCUUAAGCGUCUGAGUUCCUCCCUCCCCAGGGCACGUGCGGCUGCCAGCUCCAUCUUGCUGGGGGCAGUGAGGAGGCACGCACAGCAUUUGCUAAGGCCACACAGGCGAGGCUUGGACCACAGUUGAACCUAAGUCCCAGCGGAAGGCCUCGUGAUGCUCCCAGAACAGGAGAACACGGGAGGAGCUGGGCAGGCCGGAGCCUGUCCUGAAGCAUGACCCACGGCGGGCAGGUUCCCCUGAGGUCUGAAGCUGCACCAGAGGGGCCGUGGCCCUCAGCAUCGGGGAGGGUCUGCAGCCACAAGCGCUGCAGUGGGCAGUGCCCACUCAAGCUGGCUCUGCAGGAUACUCUUCGUUUGUAGUCUGUGUAAGAAACCGAAUUUGAAAGGGCUCGAGAUUGCUUUGUGAGCAAAUCUGUCAGCCUUGGCCUGCCUGUGCCUGACAGAAAGGCAGGAAAAUGAGGGGAGGUGCCCGGGCCCCAGCCAGUUUGGGAGUGUACUCCGUGUCUCCCCUCGCCCACCGCCAAUUCUGCUUUCUGCCCCUUCUUCAAGGCUCGAUGCAUCCCCCUCGAGGUUUGCCCACAUCUGCCUCAGGGUACUAUAUCCACAUCCGCCCCCUCGUGCCCCUGGAGAGACUCAGGGCAGAGGGGGCUCCCCAUGGACCAGCAUUUGAAGCAAAGUGUAGAGUGCUAGAGUUAUUCUCUCUUUUCCCCAACACUUCGUCAGAUUUACAAACACAACAAGUUGAAUGCAUUUUACAUUGACAUCUGUAUUCCCACCUCUAAUGGCUCCACUCACAUUUUACUAGACUUUAUCACAUCUAGGCAACCAGCCUCCAUCCAUUAAUCCAUUUUAGUUUCGAUACAUUCAGAGUAAACUGUAGACUUAAGUAUGCUUUCCCCUACAUACUUCAGCAUGCACAACAUAACUAGAGUUCAUGAUUCAGUUUUUUUCUUUUGAUGUAAAACUUAAAGUGAAAUGCCCUGCUUGCAAGUGAACAUUUACUAAGUCUUGACAAAUGCACUUUUGUAACUCACAAACCCUUAUUGAAAUGCUGAGCAUUCCCAUCCCCCAGAAAAUGUCCCCAUUCUCCUCCCCAAUCAGUCCCCACUCCCGCUCAGAAGCAGCCACUCUGUGCCCUGCCUGUUGAUACUGCAGCAAAAGGAAAACAGUAUCUAAUGGUUUUUUUCCCAGAACGUUAAAGUAGGUGAAAAACUAUUGAAAAAUUAAAAAGUAGGUAUAUUAAAACUCAAGAUAUUUUAAGUUUAGAUAUUUUAUUUAUACAAAAUCCAGUUUAUAACUUUACUCUCCUGGGCUUAAUGGAAACAAACUCAUCAAUAUUUUCAAAGUCAUCUACUUCUCCGGGUUUCAAUGGAGAGAACUGCCAUGUUGAUUUCUUUUCCCCAAGUGAUGAUCUUAAAUAAUUUUUGAUUAACUGCAGCUUACCGAAAUGUCUUACAGGGUGCCCCUGGGGCUGGUAGUGCUAACAGCCUUCUCCAGGCCACUUCCAAACCGGAUAGGACUGCACUAAGCAAAUUUGUGAAUCAGUUUUACAAGAUGGACUUGGUGUUAACUUCAUUGUAAAUUACUGCUACUGCACGCUGCCUGAAGCUUUCCGAUGAACUCCUACAGGACUUAAAUCAGAGUAUUUAAGAAUCAAAUAAAUGGUUACUUUCUGUGAAUCAGAUGUAUGCACAGAAAAUAACUUUUCUCCAGUUAAAACUUCAAAAUCCAAAGACACUUUAAUUGUUUAUAUAUUCAUUUCAAAGGUGAAAUUAGGGCAUCUGUAAUGUUUGGGCAUCAGUUUCUAUUUGAUAUGCACUUUUCUCAAAAUAAUUGACACUAUCAUGCAGUGAUUUGCUUCCAAUUUUUAUUCCUUUAUUUUAAAAUUCAGGCAGUAUAAUAUCUUUUGUUAAAAUUUUACAUUCAAACAUACUUUCAUAAUUACUUUCAUUUGUCAUAAGCAAAUGGGCAAGCCUUCUAUUAAGCAAGCAGCUUUAUGUAUAGUCAUUUUUUUAUUAUAUAGCCUCAUUAACACUUACACUUAAUUUAGAAUAUCAUCCCACACAGAUAGAUUGCAAACAACUAUAUGAUCUACUUACAGCAAGAUGUUUUAGGUGUCAGCAUAAUGCAUUUUUCAUUUGGUAUAUAUUUCAGUAUGUAUGUCUUUGUGAACUACCUUGAUUGUAUUUAAUCUUGAUCCCCUUACAUUGUGUUUUUAAUGUAGGUUUUCAAACAGAUGUAAGAAUAUCUUAUCUUCUCAUUCAUCUUUUUACUCACCAAAAAAAGUGUAUAUAUUUUUGUACAAUGCUGAAAAAGUUAAAUCAAAUUUGAUUUCACAGAAGUAGCAUUUUUGCAUAUUAAGAUUAUGAGCUAAGAAGGCACAAAUUUGGCAUAAUCAUAUUUUGGGAAAAUAAUGGCUUAUAUAUUCAUAUAUAACCUGCCAUAUUUGCUCCAGUUUUUAAAUCCCCGAUGACAAGCAUUUUUAUGUCAGUAUCUUUUCCAACCUCUAAUUUCAUAAACUAAAUAUAGAAAAUUUUUUCUUUCAUUUCAAUGAAGUCAAUACAACUUGUUUUAUUGUUACAACAUUAUUCUGAAUGCAAGCAGGUUGCCUGGUCUGACACACUUAUUCACAGUGGACCACAGCUGGCAUGCAAUCACAAAGUGAGGAAACGGAUUUGCUUCCUUUAUUCUUGGUAGUGUUUCAGACCUAAUAUAGUUUGCAUGGAGCAUUAUACAUUCGUUUUGAAUUUAAUUAUUAGAGAAGACACAUCAAUAAUUUAUGAUUUCCUAGGAUGUAAGUUAUUUUUUGUUCGAAAAGUGACAUCUAAAAAUCACUCAAAGUAUUCUGCCAUUUUCUUCUCUCCAAUUUUGUCUUCCACAAAGUAUCAUCUACUAAACUGUCAGUAGGACUAUUUUUAACAGAUCCAUGUUAGAGACCAUUACAAUGAAACAGCAAAUUUUCAUUUGUUGGAUUUUUCUAAUCUUUGAGACCUUUUUCUGAAUUUCAAAAAUUUGAAUCUGUGUAUUACUGUAGAAAGUAUGUGUGAAAAAUAAAGAUAAUUUUUUGAAAGAAAUGGGCCAUAGUGAAUUCGUAUGCCAUUAGAACCUUAAGGAAAAUAAAUAGUCCUUAGAAAAAUCUUCGGUCAUCACAUGAAGCAGAGUCCUAAAAUCUACAUCUUGGUUUUGUGAUUUUAAAAAAUCAUUUUUAUUUUAUCACAAAGUAGCAGCUGCAAUGGAGAAUUAUUAAAAUACAUGUCAAGUGGCAUCUGCUGACUUUUGCUCACACUAAUAUUCACUAGUUCCUGAAAUUUCCCAUAUUUCUCUUCAUUUUCUGAAGAAGAAUCUUCAACUGAAUUUGAUGAUAAUUCUGUUCUAAUAAUGUCAAUGUUAAGGGCCCUCAUUUUCAGUGGUUGGAAUACUGUUUCUCUAGGCAAACUUGUAGUUGUCCCUUCUAACUUGAUCCAUUUCUGCUUAUACUUUUUUUCUUUUCCUGAAUAUUGUACCACCUGACUUUGUAGAUACCAUAUUUGUUUACAAAAUUUUAGAUACAUUUGAAAAUAUUAAUAUGAUUUAAUUAUAACAGGAUAAUUUAUAUUGAUUAGCAUAAUAUGAAAGAUAUUAACAAGGAGGUAUACAUAAAAACUUGUAGCAAAAAUACAGAAAUCAAUUGCUAUGAGAAUGUAAAAUAGUAUAGUCACUGUGGAAAAGAGUAUGACAAUUCUUUAAAAAACUACGCAUAGAAUAACUGUAAGGCCCAGCAAUUCCACCUGGGUCUAAUAUACCCAAAAGAGCUGAAAACAGGACUCAAACAGAUCAUUGAAAUAGCAAUGUUCAUAGCACUGUUGUCAGCCUCCAAAAGGUGGGAGCAACUCAUGUCCAUCGACAGAUGAAUGUUUAAACAAAAUGGGGGGGGUCUAAACAGUGGAAUCUUAUUUAGCCAAGAAAAGGCAUGAAGUUCUACACCUGGAAAGAUCUUGAAAACAUUUUGCUAGGUUAUAUAAGGUAAAUGCAAAAAAUAUGUGUGAUUCCACCUAUAUGAGUUACUUAGAAUGGGCAGAUUCACAGAGACAGACUAGGACUUACCAGGGGUAGGGGAAGGGAAAGAUAGGGGAUAUUGAUACCAAGUCCAAAGUCAUGCUACUCACCAUGCACCAUGCCAGUAAGUUGAGAGACAAGGCACUGAGGCAAGGAAAGCGACUCCUUGGAAAGCCUGCAGACCUAGAAGGUGGAGGACCCAUGUCCUGAGGCCCCAUCGUAACUCAGGGUUGUUUGCAAGAUUGUUUUACGUUAGGAAAAGCAGAGGGCAGGAGGGAGGCAGGUGAGCGAGUGACUCAAGGCCGCAGGCAUCUGGGCGCCAGUGAGUGUCCAAGGAGAGCUGACAAACUCUGUCCUUGGUUAGCUGACUCUUGCCAACCCAGGUCCGGUCGCAAUGUUCCUAAAAUUCUGACACAAGGCCAUCAUUAUUUGCCUAUCUCCUGGAGGGGGCACGCGUUGGGCAGGAGCUUUUGCAGAAAUGUCAAACUGUCAGCAAAAUCCCUUUUGAUGAUCAACAAGCCUGCAUGCAGGGCUGCGGGGCUGAGCUGGACCCCAUUUCCUUUUUUUUAACUUUUGGCCCAAAGGUUAAGACAGCAAAGGAGGCAAAUACAGUGCGGAGGCGGACAGACCAACUUCUUCAUUUGGUUACAAUGUACUUCAUGGGAACAGAGUUUCUGUUUGGGGUGUGAAAACGUUCUGGAAAUAGGUACUAAUGAUGACUGUAUAACAUUGUGAAUGUACUUAGUGCCCCUGAAUUGGACGCUUAAAAAUGGCUAAAAUGAUAAACUUUCUAUUGGGUAUAUUUACCACAGUAAAAAACUCAGCUAAAGAAAGUAUCGACUAAGCUGAACAUAAAUGUGCCCUCUGGCCCAGUAAUGCCAUCCCUGGGCAUCUCCCAGUGGGAAUGAGUCCCAGCGUUCACCAAGAGGCACGUGCAGGAAUGCUUGCAGCAGCGCGGACUGGACGCAGUGCAGCUGUCCAUCAAGCUGAGAAUGCAUCAACAGGCCGUGGUACAUCCCAGACGGAGGAACAUUACACAGUGAUGAGAAGGGACAAACUAUGGCUCUUAACUCAGAGGGAUUUCACCAACAUCGUGUGGGGUGACAGGAGGCAGAGCUAGAGCGCACACCGUGGGAGUCCCAUUUAUGUCAAGUACAAACCCAGCAAAAUGAGUCUACCUAGCAACCUUGGGGGUUGUGACCGCAAGUGGCUUCUGGGAUGCAUGAAAUGGUCAAUUUUUUUAUUUGGGCCCUAGUUAAUUGGCCUGUUCACUUUGUGACAAUCCAUCAAGCUGUACUUUUGAUGAUUUGUGUACUUUUCUAUAAGUAUAGUUUUACUUCCAUAAAAUUUACUAAAAAUAUACAUAAAUUAGUUAUUACAAACAGCAGAAAAUCAUGAACCUGGUGUGAAUAAAGUAGUAAAAAAAAAUUUUUUUAAAAGUGAAUAGCAGUGACAAACAACAACAAAUGCUGGUGAGGAUGCAGAGAAAGGGGAGCCCUCCUACACUGCU